rnacentral:rRNA from 1 species
GAUGAACGCUGGCGGCGUGCCUAAUACAUGCAAGUCGAGCGAACAGACGAGGAGCUUGCUCCUCUGACGUUAGCGGCGAACGGGUGAGUAACACGUGGAUAACCUACCUAUAAGACUGGGAUAACUUCGGGAAACCGGAGCUAAUACCGGAUAAUAUAUUGAACCGCAUGGUUCAAUAGUGAAAUACGGUUUUGCUGUCACUUAUAGAUGGAUCCGCGCCGCAUUAGCUAGUUGGUAAGGUAACGGCUUACCAAGGCAACGAUGCGUAGCCGACCUGAGAGGGUGAUCGGCCACACUGGAACUGAGACACGGUCCAGACUCCUACGGGAGGCAGCAGUAGGGAAUCUUCCGCAAUGGGCGAAAGCUUGACGGAGCAACGCCGCGUGAGUGAUGAAGGUCUUCGGAUCGUAAAACUCUGUUAUUAGGGAAGAACAAAUGUGUAAGUAACUAUGCACGUCUUGACGGUACCUAAUCAGAAAGCCACGGCUAACUACGUG